rnacentral:rRNA from 2 species
CCACACCGCGGACUGAGACACGGCCCGGACUCCUACGGGAGGCAGCAGUGGGGAAUAUUGGACAAUGGGGGAAACCCUGAUCCAGCCAUGCCGCGUGUGUGAAGAAGGCCUUUUGGUUGUAAAGCACUUUAAGCAGUGAAGAAGACUCACAUGGUUAAUACCGCAUGGAGCGAUGACAUUAGCUGCAGAAUAAGCACCUG